rnacentral:rRNA from 1 species
GUAAAAGUCGUAACAAGGUUUCCGUAGGUGAACCUGCGGAAGGAUCAUUAUUGAAUAAACUUGAACAGGCUGUUGCUGGCCCUCUCUUGUGAGGGGGACAUGUGCACGCUUGUCAUCUUUAUCUCUCCAACUGUGCACACAUUGUAGACCUGGAGUCGUCUUUGUUGAUUCAUUCGAGUUGGCACUGCAGCGCUUUUCAAAACAAAAAAAAGUCUGCUCUGCCUUUUGCAUUUCCAGGUCUAYGUCAUUUUCACAACCUCAAUGUGUUUAGAAUGUCRAAUCAGGUCCUUUUUUGUACCUAUAAAAGUUAAAUAUACAACUUUCAGCAACGGAUCUCUUGGCUCUCGCAUCGAUGAAGAACGCAGCGAAAUGCGAUAAGUAAUGUGAAUUGCAGAAUUCAGUGAAUCCUCGAAUCUUUGAACGCAUCUUGCGCYCCUUGGUAUUCCGAGGAGCAUGCCUGUUUGAGUGUCAUUUCAAGUUCUCAACUGCAUCAAUUUCUCGUUGAUGUGGCUUGGAUGUGGGGGAUUGAUUAUUGCAGGCUUCUGUCAAAGGAGGUCGGCUCCCCUGAAAAGUAUUAGUGGUAUCUGAGCAGAAGAAACUACUAUAGGUGUGAUAACUAUCUAUGCCUUCAGUAUGCUGCAUAAAAACAGAUUGCACUGCUUCUAACCUAGUGAAAACCUCUCUCUACAAGGAGGGGCCACAUUUGACGAAUUUGACCUCAAAUCAGGUAGGACUACCCGCUGAACUUAAGCAUAUCAAUAGCCGGAGGAAAAGAAACUAACAAGGAUUCCCCUAGUAACUGCGAGUGAAGCGGGAAAAGCUCAAAUUUGAAAUCUGGCGGUUUUUUGACUGUCCGAGUUGUAAUCUAGAGAAGUGUUACCUGUGCUGAACCGUGUGCAAGUCUUCUGGAAUGGAGCAUCAUAGAGGGUGAGAAUCCCGUCUUUGACAUGGACUACCAGUACAUUAUGGUGCGCUCUCGAAGAGUCGAGUUGUUUGGGAAUGCAGCUCCAAAUGGGUGGUAAAUGCCAUCUAAAACUAAAUAUUGGCCAGAGACCGAUAGCGAACAAGUACCGUGAGGGAAAGAUGAAAAGAACUUUGGAAAGAGAGUUAAACAGUACGUGAAAUUGCUGAAAGGGAAACGCUUGAAGUCAGUCACGUUGGCUAGAAAUCAGCCCUGCUCUUGCUCGGUGUACUUUCUGGUUGAUGGGUCAGCAUCAAUUUCGACCAUUGGAUAAAGUCUCUGGGAAUGUGGCAUCUUCGGAUGUGUUAUAGCCCAGGGUCGCAUGCAGUGGUUGGGAUUGAGGAACUCAGCACGCCGCAAGGCCGGGUUUCGACCACGUUCGUGCUUAGGAUGCUGGCAUAAUGGCUUUAAUCGACCCGUCUUGAAACACGGACCAAGGAGUCUAACAUGCCUGCGAGUGUUUGGGUGGAAAAACCCAUGCGCGGAAUGAAAGUGAAAGUUGAGAUCCCCCUCGAAAGGGAGCAUUGACGCCCGGACCAGAUCUUUUGUGACGGAUCCGCGGUAGAGCAUGUAUGUUGGGACCCGAAAGAUGGUGAACUAUGCCUGAAUAGGGUGAAGCCAGAGGAAACUCUGGUGGAGGCUCGUAGCGAUUCUGACGUGCAAAUCGAUCGUCAAAUUUGGGUAUAGGGGCGAAAGACUA